rnacentral:rRNA from 1 species
AGCAGCCGCGGUAAUUCCAGCUCCAACAGCGUAUAUUAAAGUUGUUGCAGUUAAAAAGCUCGUAGUUGAAUUUCGAGAUCGGCUUACUGGUCGUGCUUUUGUACGUACUGGUAUAAUCGGUUUCUCCUUUCUGACGAACUAUAAUGCCAUUAAUUUGGUGUUAUAGGGAAUCAGGACUGUUACUUUGAAAAAAUUAGAGUGUUUAAAGCAGGCUCACGCUUGAAUACAUUAGCAUGGAAUAACGGAAUAGGACGUUUGAUUCUAUUUUGUUGGUUUCUAGGAUCGACGUAAUGAUUAAUAGGGAUAGUUGGGGGCAUUAGUAUUCAAUUGUCAGAGGUGAAAUUCUUGGAUUUAUUGAAGACUAACUACUGCGAAAGCAUUUGCCAAGGAUGUUUUCAUUAUCAAGACGAAAGUAGGGAUCGAAGCGAUCAGAUACCGUCGUAGUCUUAACCAUAAACUAUGCCGACUAGGGAUCGGAUGAUGUUAAUUUUUAUGUACUCAUUCGGCGCCUUACGGGAAA